UACGUAGGGUGCGAGCGUUAAUCGGAAUUACUGGGCGUAAAGCGUGCGCAGGCGGCGCGUUAAGACAGGUGUGAAAGCCCCGAGCUUAACUUGGGAAUUGCGCUUGUUACUGGCAGGCUUGAGUGUGGCAGAGGGGGGUGGAAUUCCACGUGUAGCAGUGAAAUGCGUAGAGAUGUGGAGGAACACCGAUGGCGAAGGCAGCCCCCUGGGCUAACACUGACGCUCAUGCACGAAAGCGUGGGGAGCAAACAGG
rnacentral:rRNA from 1 species